GAUGAACGCUGGCGGCGUGCCUAAUACAUGCAAGUCGAGCGAACAGACGAGGAGCUUGCUCCUCUGACGUUAGCGGCGGACGGGUGAGUAACACGUGGAUAACCUACCUAUAAGACUGGGAUAACUUCGGGAAACCGGAGCUAAUACCGGAUAAUAUAUUGAACCGCAUGGUUCAAUAGUGAAAGACGGUUUUGCUGUCACUUAUAGAUGGAUCCGCGCCGCAUUAGCUAGUUGGUAAGGUAACGGCUUACCAAGGCAACGAUGCGUAGCCGACCUGAGAGGGUGGUCGGCGACCCUGGAGCGGAGACGCGGUCCAGACUCCUACGGGAGGCAGCAGUAGGGAAUCUUCCGCAAAGGGCGGAAGCCUGACGGAGCAACGCCGCGUGGGUGAUGAAGGUCUUCGGAUCGUAAAACUCUGUUAUUAGGGAAGAACAAAUGUGGAAGUAACUAUGCACGUCUUGACGGUACCUAAUCAGAAAGCCACGGCUAACUACGUG
rnacentral:rRNA from 1 species